rnacentral:rRNA from 1 species
AGAGUUUGAUUCUGGCUCAGAACGAACGCUGGCGGCGUGGAUAAGACAUGCAAGUCGAACGAGAGAAUUGCUAGCUUGCUAAUAAUUCUCUAGUGGCGCACGGGUGAGUAACACGUGAGUAACCUGCCCCCGAGAGCGGGAUAGCCCUGGGAAACUGGGAUUAAUACCGCAUAGUAUCGAAAGAUUAAAGCAGCAAUGCGCUUGGGGAUGGGCUCGCGGCCUAUUAGUUAGUUGGUGAGGUAACGGCUCACCAAGGCGAUGACGGGUAGCCGGUCUGAGAGGAUGUCCGGCCACACUGGAACUGAGACACGGUCCAGACACCUACGGGUGGCAGCAGUCGAGAAUCAUUCACAAUGGGGGAAACCCUGAUGGUGCGACGCCGCGUGGGGGAAUGAAGGUCUUCGGAUUGUAAACCCCUGUCAUGUGGGAGCAAAUUAAAAAGAUAGUACCACAAGAGGAAGAGACGGCUAACUCUGUGCCAGCAGCCGCGGUAAUACAGAGGUCUCAAGCGUUGUUCGGAAUCACUGGGCGUAAAGCGUGCGUAGGCUGUUUCGUAAGUCGUGUGUGAAAGGCGCGGGCUCAACCCGCGGACGGCACAUGAUACUGCGAGACUAGAGUAAUGGAGGGGGAACCGGAAUUCUCGGUGUAGCAGUGAAAUGCGUAGAUAUCGAGAGGAACACUCGUGGCGAAGGCGGGUUCCUGGACAUUAACUGACGCUGAGGCACGAAGGCCAGGGGAGCGAAAGGGAUUAGAUACCCCUGUAGUCCUGGCAGUAAACGGUGCACGCUUGGUGUGCGGGGAAUCGACCCCCUGCGUGCUGGAGCUAACGCGUUAAGCGUGCCGCCUGGGGAGUACGGUCGCAAGAUUAAAACUCAAAGAAAUUGACGGGGACCCGCACAAGCGGUGGAGUAUGUGGUUUAAUUCGAUGCAACGCGAAGAACCUUACCUGGGCUUGACAUGUAAUGAACAACAUGUGAAAGCAUGCGACUCUUCGGAGGCGUUACACAGGUGCUGCAUGGCCGUCGUCAGCUCGUGUCGUGAGAUGUUGGGUUAAGUCCAGCAACGAGCGCAACCCCUGUUGCCAGUUACCAGCACGUGAAGGUGGGGACUCUGGCGAGACUGCCCAGAUCAACUGGGAGGAAGGUGGGGACGACGUCAGGUCAGUAUGGCCCUUAUGCCCAGGGCUGCACACGUACUACAAUGCCCAGUACAGAGGGGGCCGAAGCCGCGAGGCGGAGGAAAUCCUGAAAACUGGGCCCAGUUCGGACUGUAGGCUGCAACCCGCCUACACGAAGCCGGAAUCGCUAGUAAUGGCGCAUCAGCUACGGCGCCGUGAAUACGUUCCCGGGUCUUGUACACACCGCCCGUCACAUCAUGGAAGCCGGUCGCACCCGAAGUAUCUGAAGCCAACCGCAAGGAGGCAGGGUCCUAAGGUGAGACUGGUAACUGGGAUGAAGUCGUAACAAGGUAGCCGUAGGGGAACCUGCGG